GCAUGAUGAUAUGGUGAAAUUGCUGAAACUUUGUUGGGAAUGGCGCCAUAACCCAAAUUUGGUGAUGCAAUUUGGCAACGUGGAAGCUGAGAUUGAAUUCUUCGCUUCCCUCGUCAAAGCUGACGGUUGGCUGAAAGGAGAUCGACAACAAGAGUUGGAGGAAGUAGAAAUAUCGGACUGGACAACGACCGAU